rnacentral:lncRNA from 1 species
GAGUAGUCUGGCUUCAGAGUUUGGUGGCUUUUAACUUUUUCAUUUUUCUUCUCAAACUUGUAAUACUUCAAUUCCAAUAUGGUAUUUCUCAAAUUGGGCUCCAGUGAAACCAGAUUUGUGAUGUAUAAUCAAAAAUUAUGGGAUUUUAUUUUUCUUAAAAUAAGUCUGUGCAUUCCUUAACUUUUCAAAGGCAUAGGCUUUAGAGUGAGACUGUUAGGGGUUCAAAUCUAGACAAGGCUCUUCCCAGGCAGGGGAUGCAGAGGCAUUUCUUUCUGGCCUCUACUGUGAUGGGGCAUUGCUCUCCCCUGUGGGGUUACUGCCAAAGCUUGGUGAGACUGCCCUGUGAACUGGGCAUACCAUAUUCAGUAAGGCUGCUCCUUCUCCCUUCUGCCCCUCCCUCCUCCUCUUGUCAGCUGGGUACAAAGUCUGCAAGAACCCUGGAGCAUCUGGAGCUGUUUGGACUGCAAAGAGGAGCAGAAUCAUUGGGUUCCAAUGACUGCUCUCUGGAAGACAGGCCUCUUGCAUAGAGGGGCAGGCACUCAGUGCCUGGGUAGCCACUCCAAAGAGACAGUUGUGUGUAGACAGUGGCAAAGAUGUGGUGGGGCAGAGAUCAGGAGGGAAGUGAAACUGUAUUCUUCUGGGGCAAGAGACAAUAUUUCCACGUUUGAUUCUGCUGUGAACUUGUGGUGUGUUCUUGGACUAGUCUGAGCCUCCAUUUUUAUCUCUAAGGGAAUUUUAGACUGGCGAUUUUAAGUUUCUCUUUAGGCACAGAACCCAGUAAAGGUUAUGCCCCCUCAAGCAGAUUUUCUUUAUGAGGC